rnacentral:lncRNA from 1 species
AUGCUGCAGCCACGUGGCAUGCUGCAGCUCUUUGUGAGACGAGCUGCUUUCCUGGCAAUCCUGCACCUGCACCCCAGCCUCCUGCUUUCCUAUUGCAGUGAAAAUGCAGCGCUGUUCCUGCUGUGCUCAGUUUGGUGGUUUGCUUUUUUUUUUUUGGUGUUAUUUUCCCAGUCAUCGUCACUGCUGAGUUUUGUUGUUUUUUUUGUUUUACUUUUUUUCAAAAAGAAUUUCAAAUCCACUAGAGGGCAACAUGAUCUGCCAUGGGAGAAGGAGCGAGCCGGGCAUGCUGUGAAUCCUGGCCUGUGAAUCAAGUAUUUGUGGGUGGGAGGCUCUGCCCAUGCACCCCUGCAGAGGUGUGAAUAUUUGGAGAGAAAGCCUGUGCCCGAUGGACACCAAAGGCCUAUCUGUGCAGAAGGUGCGUUUGAGAACAAACCCCUUGCUGGAUAGCUUAUGGAAGCUGCUGCUGCUCCUAGAGCCACCAGCAGAAAAAGAGAU